rnacentral:lncRNA from 1 species
UUUAGGCUGGGGAACACAGGGUGGAAUUUGAGUUUCUGCCUCGGCCUCAACUCACUGGAUUCUCCUGGCAAAGUAUUUUCAUACUCCUGUGCCUUAGUUUUUCUUUUUUCAUGUUUAUAUAUAUAUGUAUUCUACAUGUUCACAUGUGUGAAUGUGUGUGUGUGUGUGUGUGUGUGUCUGUGAGCAUUCACAUGAGUUGCCCCCAAAUUCCUACCAGGAUUUGUUCUCAAUCAUUCUUGCAUCUUAUUCGUCGAGGCAGAGUCUCUCAGUCAGACCAAGAGCUCUAGAUGUGGCUGGUCUCUAUAGCUAGCCAUCCCCAGAGAUCCCAGCCUGAGGCUGGAGUUAUAGGCCAGCUGUCAUAGUCACAUGACAUUUACAGGGUUCUGGGGACCUAACUAUAUUCUCCUUACUUGCACCCUCAGUUAAAGAACACUUUAACCUCUGAGCCCUUUCUUGCACCCUUCAGUUUUCUGUAAAUGGGAAGGGGUAGGGGCAAUGUGAGACUUCGGAAACUUUCUUCCUUUUUGUUUUUAACCCCCCCCCCCCUUUUUAUUUGUUUUGUUUUUGUGGCUGUAGAUUGUCAGGCUUGGUGGCAAGCACCCACCUUUUGAGCCAUCUAGUCUGGUGUUGUCUGUUCUGAGUUCAGAAACUCUUGGGGGUCAUAGCUGUAAAGACUGUUGAAUUGUAUUGAGAGGUUGCCAUGUUUUCUCUCUUGGAGCCAGGCUGCAUAGUGGGUAGACUCCAGAUUGGCAGCAAAGGCUUGAAGACAUCAUUAUAUCGCACCAGGAAUGGUGGUACAUGCCUUUAAUCCCAACUUCUGGGAGGUUGAAGCCUGAUGAAGGAUGAUUAAAUAUUUGAAACCGGCCUCUCCUACAUAGUAAGACUCUGUCUCAAAACCAACUUACAAAAUCCAAAGCGACACCAACAAACCUGUAAAGUGAUAAACAAGCUAACACCCACCCAACCUCCAUCCUUGUAAACAGAGGAGAAGAGCUCAGUGAGGGUAGAACAGGAAGGACCUAGGUGGUGCCUGACCAUCAGUAAGUGUGGCUAUAGCUGCUGUCGCUGCCCCUGGGCUGACCUCUAGCCCCAGCACAGGCACUGAGCAGGCAGAGUCUCUGAAGCUCACAGAAGGGGAGUUGUUGCCACAUAGGAGCUUGUGUUGAAGCUGGACAGCCCUUAGGACCUGUAACUUGGUAUAGGCUCAGGCACUUCUUCGCGUGGUCUUCCUGUCUUUGACUCUUACACCCUAUCCUCUCCAGCCUUUAACACAAGCUCCUACAUGGCUGUUACUUUCCUCAUUUUGCAGGGACUACUACAUAUUAUACAUAUUACAUAUGUGUGAGGAUAUGUGUGUAUUUCAUCCCAUGAAUCCCGGGUGGUCUCUAUUGUGCCGCUUUAAAGCAAACAUAUACUAGUAUACUAGUAUAUAUACUAGUAGAAUUAAGCUCAAGACUUUUUCUCCAAAUGUUGAAUUUGGAAACACAGUGAGUCUUGGUUUCUUUACUAAUGUUGCCGUUUUGGCUUUUGAUUGCCAUGGCAACCAAAAUAAAUCUUUCUUUUGUAAACCAAUAUUAAUUAUCCCAUAGCAAGAAUCAUAGCUUUUCUUCAUUUUUUCCUAAUUAUUUCUUUUUAAUAAAAACCCAUCUUUCUUUUAAAACAAUAAAAUAGUUCAUCCCUGUCAAGAUGCAUUUUUAGUGUAUGAUAAUUAUUUUAAGUGCAUGAUUGAUUUUAGGCUGGACUAUUGGUAUGUCUGCUGGGUUGUUUGAUUGGUUGUUUGUUUCCUGGGGCCUUCCAAAGAGGAAAUGAAGUGGGAAAAUGAUACAGAAGGCCCAGGACAGAAUCUGCAAAGAACAUUACAUUUCCAAGACUCGUAUGAUCUCUGUGAGAAAUUCACUUUAGGUUUGGGACAGGAGGCUGGCUUUGAGAGCUGACUCAGCAUCCUAAAAACAAAC